CCACGGAUGACGACGUGCAUUUUUAUUUUGAAAAAAAAAUACCUUCAGAAUCGGGUUUUUUGACGAUGCCAUUUACCAAUUACACCAAGGUGCCUCAGUUCAAGUUUUUACUAUGAAAUCCGGAUAUAUAUUCUUAUGUUUCGGAGUUUCCCGUUAACAGGUUUCGAACUCGGGAGGAAUUUACCCCAGUCACUCCUUAAAACAACGACAGACACUCGCUCAAACGACGUAGGACUAGGUGGACAAAUGGUAAUAAAUCACUGUACGAAAUAACAGAUUCUGUUGGAAUUUCGUGAGCAAAAUUGUUUGCUAAAUGCGGAAAAAUGGAUAUUUCAAUAAACAAAAAGCCCAGGGUUUUGUUUAAGAAAGCGCAUUCUUCUCAUUAAUUCUUUGUGUCCAUUGGAUUCUAUAUUAUGUUCCGUGAAUCGAGCAUUGGGAAAUGAAUCUAUUAUAUAGCAAUGAACGGUGAAUUCAGGUACUUUAUGAUCGGAGCCACUGAUGCGUCUACAAUAAUGAAUCUGAGACAUUCAAUUCACUGGAUUUUUUUGUGCCAUUUUCAAUAGGAUUUUUUGUGAAAUACUAACAUUUAACGCUAGCCUACUAUUUUCCUACGUUGUUCAUAUUAAAUUGUUAGAUUUGUCAUUGCUUUUUAAAUGCUGUUUACUUA